GAUUAUUAAAAAAAAAUCAAAUUCCUUUUUCUGGUAGUAUAAGAGAAUCGAUAGUUCUCAAACAAUGAGAAAUGCCAGACACAAUAUUUUCUCAAAAAUAGUUUGAAAUGUAUUUAUGAGCUGACAGGAAAAUGAGGCAUACUCCCAGUAUAAUGUUCUCAUCAGCUUUCACAUUAAAGGCAUUUAACAAACUGGGACAACUUGAGUUUUUACAAGUCAGCAGGGCAUAGGGAACAGCAAAUAAACUUGCUGGCACUGACAAAGCCAGGGCCCACCAAAAUAAAAAAUGUAACUGGGGGUGUCCUGCUAAAGACAGAACUCCAGAAGGCUACCAGAAUUUCCUUCUCAAAAAUUUGCCUUGGGAGAGCACCAUAGGUUUUCUCCAGCUGUAUACAGUCUUCCCUGAAAGAGGAGUCGGGCGGGGGAGGGGGAGGACUUCAACAGCCUAAACAGGAAAAGCUCUCUUCAGUCCGAUUCACCGAACCAAAGUCAACCACAAUCAUCUUCGUCCCUCUACCGCGGCCAACUCUUGCGUGCUCACACGCGUUUCAUCUUUGGAGCGGAAAUGUUUUCUUAAAAAAGAAGAGAUUCCAGCACAAAUUGUUGGAAGAUCUGUGGCUUCCCGGCAUAUUGAUUAUCUUCAUCACCAUCUCUGACCCCUCGCAGGCCAUCGAAACAGGGCAAGCACAGUGCAUGUUACAACAGAAGGCAGCCAGGGGGCUGUCCUUUCUAGUUCUAUAAACUCCCCAACUGGGUGGCCUCCAAGAAACAAUGCAGGGAGGUUGGCCGUGGCCCUAAGAAGCACAAUGCGACCACCAUUCGCCUGAAGUCUCUGUGGCUUGCUCCUUCCUCCUGUAACCGAGCAUGUGUGAAUCACGGGGCUGUGAAAAUCCCGAGUGGAAGUGAAGGGGAGCCCUCUGUCCGACACCCCUAGACAUCUUAAUAAUAUUUAUGGCUUCUGGGAUGUAAAAAAAAAAGGAGAAAUGAGCUCGAGCCCCGUACUGCCAUUUCCGUGAAUCUCAUAAUGGAAGAGAUAAUGUGAAUACAUUUGAUGAUAUUCAAAUAUCAUCUGUGUGUUAUCAUUUUACUCAACACUCAAAAUACGACUGUGUCUGCCAAGCAGAUUACAUAGCUUGGCACGCUUCCAUUUCAUGAAUGACACUUAAUAUGAAAUAAUUUUCACUGACAAAUAGAGUAACAGUGAUAUAACAGAUCCUAAGGUGGUACUAGAAUAAAUCCAGGCAUUCCGGUAUGAUGAUAACCCGACUAAUCCCAAACACGGCUGCGAGGUGUUCCUAUCACUUUCGAGGAAAGGACGGCCUUUAAAAACAGCCUUGCUCCUUCCCUCCUUACAGACCCGACCUGGGCUCUUUCAUACUUAGGGCCCAUCCAGUCUUGUGCUAUAUAAAGAAUGGUUUAUUAGAGUCCAUUGCCUGCCAUUCCUUUGCCCUACUCUGAGCACAAGAGCCCUCCUCAAGUGUCAAGGCAAAGGUUCUCUCUUCAGCUCAGAAGUUCCAGCGCUCUGCCAGAAUUUCUCUCGGGCCUUCUUUAGAGAAUAUUGGGGGCAAUUUAAAAGUAGUGGUUUGUUGGAGUUCCCAUUGUGGCUCAGCGGUAAUGAACCAGACCAGUAACCAUGAGGAUGCAGGUUUGAUCCCUGGUCAUGCUCAGUGGGUUGAAGAUCUGGCAUUGCCAUGAGCUGUGGUGUAGGUCACAGACAUGGAUAAGAUCUGGCGAGGCUGGGGCUGUGGCAUAGGCUGGUGGCUAUGGCUCUGAUUCCACCCCUAGCCUGGGAACUUCCAUAUGUGCCAGGUGCAGCCCUAAAAAAGAAGCAAAACAAACAAACAAACAAAAACAAAAAGAAAGAAAGAAGAGAAAUAAAGAAAUAUAAAAGCAGUGGUUUGCCCCAAGCACAACAACUCUGGGCUCUGAGCUCUUGGUUCCUCUGUUUUUACUCAACUCACAUAUCAGGAUCUUGCAUAAGAUUCCAGUGGGUGCUAAAUAUAAAACCAAAAAAACGAUGGCUUCAAAAAUGUGUGAAAACCAUUGCAACAAAUGGUUCCUUCCCUCAGGCACUCUUAACCCCCUCCCCAGGCUGGUUCCUUCAAAUGGAGAUUUAGGUAUUUAUCUUCCUUUAAAGCACCUCGCCCUCGUUUCCUCUUCCAGAAUCUGGAACCUACCGCGAACUGAAACAAUACUUAUUGACAAUAUCCAAAAAAUAAUCCAGAGUUUUGCACCAUAAAUCUUUGCAAGGUUAUGAUUUGUUUUUCUCACAUGGAUUCUAAUCCAGCUUGGGUUCAUCCUCUCCCCAAACUCCAACUCGCCCCCCUACCCCAUCAGUAAAGCAGGCAUUUACCUGAUAUGUCAUCUCUAUGGAUUUUAUUGUUAUAAGCAAAGAGGAAUGAAGCUGCCCCUCCCCCUCUCCACAAAACUGGCAGCUGGUUGGUAUCCUGGACUAAUUAUUUGAAAUUUGGCAAAGACAUCAAAAAAUGCCAACUUCGGUGAGUGUCUAUAUAUCUGACAACUGAAAAUGAACUGGAAUGUUAUUGAACAUCUAUUAAUGUAUAUUGGUCAAAUCGGCCGUACAUUGUGCAUAAUGAUCGAUUUUCCUAAUCUUAAUGUCAAAAAUAAAUGAACAGAAAUGCCAAAGAUUGGGGGUAAUUUGAUUGUACGCCUCAAAAGUCCAUUUAAAAAAUGAACUGUUCUGAGCAAACUACUUGACAGACAAUGGAGCAUGAAGGCAGAUUCUAGAAACUAACAAAUCCCAUUCAUUUCCUUCAGUUUGUAAAAACAAGCAACUGACAUGUUUCCUGCCAAUGAACCAUGGUUGAAGAUAAGAAAGCUGCCUCCAGGAAAUCCUUUGCUAAAAGAGAACAGUUGUGUCAUUAAACUUAAACCUUUUUCACCAAAUCUCAAUCAGUUAAAUAUUUGACAACAUGGGAUCACGAAAUAUAUGCUAAAUCACCCCAAUAAUGCUAUCCUGCUUCUAAAGUCUAUUAUUUCCUACGACAUAAUGCCAGAUAUUCAAUAAAUAUUACAGUCUAGUUCGGAUUCUUUCUACCCCCUCCCAUGCAAUUAGUUGAUGAAAACAAGGGGAAUUUUCUGCUUUUUGGAAACAUCAAAGCUUUUGUUAAAUGAGAUUUAAAAUGGACCGUUUUUAAUUAAGAUAAAGCAAUAAAUCAUCAUGAUUGAAAGAAGGAUAUUUCUAAAUGAAUAUCAAGCGCUUAACAUGUAAAGACAACCACUGACAAGACUGAAAAAAUAAAGAAAUGCACCGGCUUUAUAUUGACAAGUUUCAACGUUGAUCCCCAAAGUCAAAAUUUAGCCUCCUUGGUUAUUUUUCACUUAGCAAAGUGAAAGAGUGAGAUCUCCAAACUUUUCUCUCCUCACCAAAACCACUACCAAGAUGUUGAAAAUAUUCGCAACUUUGAGGACCGUCUCAGUUAUCCUAAAACUAAAGCAUUCUUUUCUCCACCCAUGCACAAUAUUAAUGAUAACAGUUUUGAAACAGCUCUUAUUUCGGUUGAGGGCUCUCCUUUCCCUUUUGGCUACAGAGAACCCCCUUUCUUCCACCUCCCAAAGCACCAGACAGCCUGCAAUGCCUUAGAGGGAAGUUCCAAAAUGCCACCGUUCUUUAAAUUCAAUUGCUACAGUUCCAGUGUGAAGCCUCUUGCAAACAGAAACUCUUCAUUAUACUGUCCCCAAAUGACUCUUCAGCCACAGGUUAACAGUCUAGGCUGUGCAGCUCUACAAAGAGUUUCGUUCUAACAGUAACCAUACAAAACCAGUUUGCUCCCACAAUUAAGUGAUCAAAUACAUUCUUUUUAGCCUUCCCUGGUGCAACUCACAGGUACCAAAAUGCAAAGUAAGUACAUGUGUUCAUCCUUGCUUUAAGCCCGUUUCUUCACACAUUUCCAAUAAAAAUACAGCUACGAAUUCCAGGAGACUGCAUUUUUGGUUGUUGUUGUAAAAUGACCUUGAUUUGACAGGCACAGUCUCAGGUUUCAACAGAUGCUCUGGGAAAGCUUACAGAAGCCAACAUGUUCUCCAGGCAUCUGUGAUGACAUGCAGGUUUUUUUUUUUUUUUUUUUUUUUAAGUGGUUAAUAUGGUAAGGGGGGGGUUACUUGUCUCGGUUUCCAUGACAACCAUGUCUCUACUCAUGGGUUAUUAGAUUCCAUCCACUUCCUGUG
rnacentral:lncRNA from 1 species